rnacentral:rRNA from 1 species
AACGAACGCUGGCGGCGUGUUUAAGACAUGCAAGUCGCACGGGAUCAAUUUGGUAGUAAUACUCGAUUGGUCCAGUGGCGCACGGGUGAGUAACAUGUGAAUGACAUGCCCUUCAGUGGGGAAUAGCCCAGGGAAACUUGGAUUAAUACCCCAUGGUAUCGCAAGAUUAAAGGUGGCCGCAAGGCUGUCGCUGAAGGAUUGGUUCGCACCCUAUCAGCUUGUUGGCGGGGUAACGGCCCACCAAGGCUACGACGGGUACCUGGUCUGAGAGGACGAUCAGGCACACUGGAACUGAGACACGGUCCAGACACCUACGGGUGGCAGCAGUCGAGAAUAAUUCACAAUGGGGGCAACCCUGAUGGUGCAACGCCGCGUGGAGGAUGACGGUCUUCGGAUUGUAAACUCCUGUCAUCCGGGAGUAAGACCUGGCUGUGAAUAGCAGACAGGGUUGAUAGUACCGGAAGAGGAAGGGACGGCUAACUUCGUGCCAGCAGCCGCCGUAAAAC